rnacentral:misc_RNA from 1 species
CGGCUCGUGCUCUGCUGACGGCGUGCGGUGUUUCAGAGCACAGGGCGCGUGUCAAGCAAUCGCGAGCUAAUGCUGCAGUAUACAUCAUCUGCGCGGCAGGCGCUGCGUGCGACGGCACUUGUGCUUAGCUUUUUCCCGCUGGGGUACACGUGUGGUCCAAAGAAUAAGCAGGUGUUCUUCCCUCCGAACAACCUGGAUGGGCGGACGACGCAUCAGAUGAAGAAACUGCAGGGAUCUACGGACAAGCACCCUGGCCUGGUGCCACGCGACAAGCUUAAACUUCAUUGCGAGUUCUGCCGCUUUCAUUGGAUUCAGGAUACACUCGUCGUGCGCUGUGCAGCACAUCCUAAGGAGCACAAUCAGCGGGAAAUUUGGCUAGAGCCGACCUGGACCUGGGGAAAGCAACAGCCGUACCAGUAUUACAAGUAUAUGCCCGUGAACAUCAACCCGCGGACGGGCAUGCCGCUUGCGCGCGAGGACGCCAAGAGCAUGAACAACGAGCGUCGGUCACAGGGCCUGCCAACCAAGACUCGUCUCUUGGAGCAGGAGCGGCGAGGCAUAUCGAGAGCCAUCACAGGGUUAGGGAUAUACAACCAGCGUUGGCAGACGCGCUUCCCGUUUGCGACGUGAAGCUAGCGAUCUUGUUCGGUCAGGUCUUUGUUUGCAUGCCGGGGUCAUUUUGUUUGAGCAGCAUGGAUUUGUCUCCUGCAGUGUCCGCGGUUGCGCUUCGCUCAUAUGGUUGUUUGCGGUGCUUUCUUGGUACUACGCAU